AUUAUUAUUCUUCUUCUUCUGGACAAAACUUCGGCGCGUAACUUGUCCCGCAGUUUUUGUCCUAGACCCAUGAAUGAGGUGUCAAAUCGACCGGCUCAUUGAGGAGAGGUGUGCUAUGACUUUUAUAAGCGAUCGGCCCAACGAUGUUCGCACAGGGGGCGAAAAAGCGGCCAAAAAAGUCCCAUUGACUUUCAAUGGCGGAAUGUUCAGAAAUUUGAAUCUCAACUGUCACUUUCUCACACACACACACACACACGCAGGGCCUUAGAACCCUUUCUGUCACUCACUCACAUCUCUCACUAUUGAUCACAGUGUCAUAGAGACAAGGGGGCGGGCUCAUUUCACUCAGGCAACCAAUCAGUCUCUCAGGAUCAAUGUGACGCUAUGAAGCCACGCCCUAGCAACCAUAUAGAGCACCAUAGCAACAGGUUCCAUAGACUUCCAUUCAAAAAGGUCAAAGAUAGUCCUUUGGAUAGAAGUGUCAUAGGAACAUGAGGGUGGGCUCAUUUGACUCGGGACAGCAAACGGCCAAUCACGAAUCACCUUCAAGACUUCAUAGCCACGCCCUAGCAACCAUUUAGAGCACCCUAGCAACCCAAAGCAUAGAGGGAUAUCUUUAAAUCUCAAUAUCAUAGAGGCAUGGGGGUUGAUUUAUAUCAUUCAUACUGGCAAGCAGCCUUUGGAGUAUCAUCAUUGGCAGCUGCCAAGCCACUCCCUAGCAACCAAACAGAGUACCCUAGCAACCGUUUUGCAAGACCUAUAUCUCUGCAUCAGAACAUCGUAGAGACAUGGCGGUUGGCUUAUAUUGGCAAGCAGCCUUUGGUGUAUCAUCAUUGGCAGCUGCUAAGCCACUCCCUAGCAACCAAACAGAGUACCCUAGCAACCGUUUAGCAAGACCUAUAUCUCUGCAUCAGAGCAUCGUAGAGACAUGGCGGUUGGCUCUUUCGACUCAUGCUAGCAAACUGGACUUCCAACAUGCUACACAUGCUAGCAGUGAAUAGCUACAUGCUAAUGGUGAUUAGCUAAGUGCUAAAGUGGGCUAAGAACAUGCUAAGAACUCUAUAAAAACACCAUAGUAACCAUCUGUGACAACUACCAACCACCUAGUAACAUCAUAGCAACCACCCAGGUUACCAUAGCAACUGCCUAGCAACCACCCAUAACACCCUAGCAACCACCUAGCAACACCGUAGCAACUGCCCCAAGUACCUUAGCAACUGCCUAGCAACCGCCUAGCAACCACCCAGGUUACCAUAGCAACCGCCUAGCAACCACCCAGAACACCCUAGCAACUGCCUAGCAACACCUUAGCAACCACCCCAAGUACCUUAGCAACUGCCUAGCAACCGCCUAGCAACCACCCAGGUUACCAUAGCAACCGCAUAGCAACCACCCAGAACACCCUAGCAACCGCCUAGCAACACCUUAGCAACCACCCCAAGUACCUUAGCAACUGCCUAGCAACACCCUAGCAACCACCCAGGUUACCAUAGCAACCGCCUAGCAACCACCCAGAACACCCUAGCAACCGCCUAGCAACACCUUAGCAACCACCCCAAGUACCUUAGCAACUGCCUAGCAACACCCUAGCAACCACCCAGGUUACCAUAGCAACCGCCUAGCAACCACCCAGAACACCCUA